rnacentral:rRNA from 1 species
GACGAACGCUGGCGGCGUGCUUAACACAUGCAAGUCGAACGGAAAGGCCCUGCUUGCAGGGUACUCGAGUGGCGAACGGGUGAGUAACACGUGGGUGAUCUGCCCUGCACUUCGGGAUAAGCCAGGGAAACUGGGUCUAAUACCGGAUAGGAGCCAUUUUUAGUGUGAUGGUUGGAAAGUUUUUUCGGUGUAGGAUGAGCUCGCGGCCUAUCAGCUUGUUGGUGGGGUAAUGGCCUACCAAGGCGGCGACGGGUAGCCGGCCUGAGAGGGUGGACGGCCACAUUGGGACUGAGAUACGGCCCAGACUCCUACGGGAGGCAGCAGUGGGGAAUAUUGCACAAUGGGCGCAAGCCUGAUGCAGCGACGCCGCGUGGGGGAUGACGGCCUUCGGGUUGUAAACUCCUUUCGCUAGGGACGAAGCUUUUUGUGACGGUACCUAGAGAAGAAGCACCGGCUAACUACGUG